rnacentral:rRNA from 1 species
GUUGUUGCGGUUAAAAAGCUCGUAGUUGGAUUUCUGUCGAGGAUGGCCGGUCCGCACUUUGUGCGUGCAUCUGGUUCAGCCUUGGCAUCCUCCUGGGGAACGUAUCUGCGCUUAAUUGCGUGGUGCGGUAUCCAGGACUUUUACUUUGAGGAAAUUAGAGUGUUCACGGCAGGCAAACGCCUUGAAUACGUUAGCAUGGAAUAAUAAUAUAGGACCUUGGUCCCAUUUUGUUGGUUUCUGGAACUGAGGUAAUGAUUAAUAGGGAUAAUUGGGGGCAUUCGUAUUAACGUGUCAGGGGUGGAAUUCUUGGAUUACGUUACGACGAACUACUGCGAAAGCAUUUGCCAAGGAUGUUUUCAUUGAUCAAGAACGAAAGUUCGGGGAUCGAAGAUGAUUAGAUACCAUCGUAGUCCGAACCAUAAACUAUGCCAACUAGAGAUGGGCGAUCGUUAUUUUUUUGACUUCGUCCGCACCUUAUGAGAAAUCAAAGUCUUUGGGUUCCGGGGGGAGUAUGGUCGCAAGGCUGAAACUUAAAGGAAUUGACGGAAGGACACCACCAGGAGUGGAGCCUGCGGCUUUAUUUGACUCAACACGGGAAAACUCACCAGGUCCAGACAUAGUAAGGAUUGACAGAUUGAUAGCUCUUUCUUGAUUCU